rfam:Salmo salar isolate Sally breed double haploid chromosome ssa21, whole genome shotgun sequence.
UGGUUCAGUUGGUAGAGCAUGGUGCUUGCAACGCAAAGGUUGUGGGUUCAAUUCCCAU